rnacentral:tRNA from 1 species
CCCCCUUCCUAGAGUC